UGAAGAAUAACGUUUAGAACCCGUGUCACUUACAACAUUUUAUAUUGUCGGUGAGAAGUAAAAGGGGAUAAAGUGGAUUUAUGUUUGUGUGAUGACUGUAGCCAUGUGAACGGGUUAUCGUACGGCAAAACCCAUCACGUAAAGAAGAGUCUUCAACUUUUCAAGAAAGCCUUGUUUUGCUAUCAACACAAAGCUCGGAACAGGAAGUGAUACAUUGUAUGCUGAUUACCUGUGCAGGAGGAAAAUGAAACCAGACAGAUUAUGGACUCAAAUUCAACCCGUAAAAAAGCUAGGAACUUGCAGUCACUGAGUGUUCUUGUUUACAGUCAUGUGUUUAAUGCUGCCACAACAUAAAUAUUAUAGCUGGCUCUGGACUCGACCAUAUGCAUCUUAAACUGAUCUUUGAACGCGAUUGUCUCAAGAACAUUUUUAUAAUAAAUAACUUUGACGGUCAGCCCAGGGUCACCAAUGCCAAGCGUCUUUUGGAGACACUUAUUCCAACCUGUCAAAGUUCUUCAAAGAACUACCAUGACAAUCGUGUAUUUGUUUUGUUUGUCAUAAUAAGUUUAAUGUUUAAUAUCACUAGUAUCACUAGUCAUUGAUACAUUGAUAAAUCUAUUUUCCUUUAAACGUGUUUGAUUGAAUGAUUAUAUGUGCCUUGUUACUUAAUUAUUAAUGUUCUUAUUUCCCUGUAACAUUUUCAAGUCUUAUUCAUAGAAGAACGCAUUUCACAUGCAAUUUCAAACAAGGUUAGCAAAUCUUACUGCACUGAGUAGGUUUCGUCUCACACAUGAUAUAUGAGAUGCUUUUCCUCUUUUUUAUGCCCCCCUUCGAAGAAGAGGGGGUAUAUUGCUUUGCUCAUGUCGGUCUGUCGGUCAGUCUGUCGGUCGGUCCGUCCACCAGGUGGUUGUCAGACGAUAACUCAAGAACGCUUGGGUCUAGGAUCAUGAAACUUCAUAGGUACAUUGAUCAUGACUCGCAGAUGACCCCUAUUGAUUUUGAGGUCACUAGGUCAAAGGUCACGGUGACCAGAAAUAGUUAAAUGGUUUUUGAAUGAUAACUCAAGAACGCAUACACCUAGGAUCAUGAAACUUCAUGGGUAGAUUGAUCAUGACUUGCAGAUGACCCCUAUUGAUUUUGAGGUCACUAGGUCAAAGGUCAAGGUCACGGUGACCCGAAAUAGUAAAAUGGUUUUCGGAUGAUAACUCAAGAACGCAUACGCCUAGGAUCAUGAAACUUCAUAGGUAGAUUGAUCAUGACUUGCAGAUAACCCCUUUUGAGGUCACAAGGUCAAAGGUCAAGGUCAUGGUGACCCGAAAUAGUAAAAUGAUUUUCGGAUGAUUACUCAAGAACGCUUUUGCGUAGGAUCAUGACACUUCAUAGGUACAUUGAUCGUGACCCGCAGAUGACCCCUAUUGAUUUUCAGUUCACUAGGUCAAAGGUCAAGGUCACAGUGACAAAAAUCGUAUUCACACAAUGGCUGCCACUACAACGGACAGCCCAUAUGGGGGGCAUGCAUGUUUUACAAACAGCCCUUGUUUUAUCUUUUUAUAAUAAUUUUUGAACAUUUAGCUCAUCUUAAUGCUCACAUAUAAAAAUCUCAAAUUCAGUAUGGCGUUUCUGGAAAAGGGGGGUAGCCUUGAUUGUAAAGCCGGAACUUUUCGUUUUCACUGGUGACCCCCAUUUUUAGCUUAUUAUUAUAAAACAAUGUCUUUGCCAUCAACUACAAGUUUCUGUAUAGUUUUGUUUUCGUUUGUAAGUUUUUCAUUGUUUGCAAAGUAUUUUGUAUUGUUUUCAUUGUGUUCAACAUGCUGUGCCCGUGCACGAAGUAUUAUGCCAUCAAAUUGUAGUUUUCAACUAUGUUAUUCAAAAUGUUCCUAUUUUUGG